rnacentral:misc_RNA from 1 species
GGGUUUGGCCAAAGAACAAAAAGAUUUGGUAGUUGGGUGUUUCAAGGAAGCGGAUGGCCAGACGUUUUGAGUCGUCUAUAUCAGCGAUCUCAUCCUUCCACAAUUAAGGCCACACAUCCUUCCAAAACCACGACCAUAGCCUCUGCUGCCACCUCUGCAUCUAUCAUACCCAAUACCUCAACAUAAAGAUUGAUGGUGAAGGUCAUGAAAUUCUUGUUAGAAAUUUGGAUUGUGAUGAAUCAAUAGUUAAUUGGAAUUUUUAUGCCUUUCUAUUAAUCUUGGUUGUUCUACAUUGUGAUACCCGCAAUCUGUUUGAUUGAAGGUCUGAGAGAAGUAGAGUAAAUUGGAUUUUUCUUUUUGCAUUAUGGAGAUUUAAU